rnacentral:rRNA from 1 species
UGAUAACCCCGUGGCGGCGGGCGCGGUAAUACGGAGGGUGGGGGCGUGAAUCGUAAGGACGGGUCGUCAAGGGUGCGGCGGCGGAGAGUGCGGACAGCCGCGACAGGCCCGGGCUGAACGGGGGAAGGGCGGUGGGGACGGCCGGUCGCGAGUGGGCUAGGCGAGCGUGGAAGUCCGGGGGUAGCGGUGAAAUGCGUAGAGAUCCGGGGGAAGACCGAGGGCGAAGGCAGCGAUCUGGGGCCACACUGACGCUGAGGCACGAAAGCGUGGGGGGCAAACAGGUUUAGAUACCCUGGUAGUC